GAUGAACGCUGGCGGCGUGCCUAAUACAUGCAAGUCGAGCGAACGGACGAGAAGCUUGCUUCUCUUAUGUUAGCGGCGGACGGGUGAGUAACACGUGGAUAACCUACCUAUAAGACUGGGAUAACUUCGGGAAACCGGAGCUAAUACCGGAUGAUAUUUUGAACCGCAUGGUUCAAAAGUGAAAGACGGUCUUGCUGUCACUUAUAGAUGGAUCCGCGCUGCAUUAGCUAGUUGGUAAGGUAACGGCUUACCAAGGCAACGAUGCAUAGCCGACCUGAGAGGGUGAUCGGCCACACUGGAACUGAGACACGGUCCAGACUCCUACGGGAGGCAGCAGUAGGGAAUCUUGCGCAAUGGGCGAAAGCCUGACGGAGCAACGCCGCGUGAGUGAAGAAGGUCUUCGGAUCGUAAAACUCUGUUAUUAGGGAAGAACAUAUGUGUACGUAACUGUGCACAUCUUGACGGUACCUAAACAGAAAGCCACGGCUAACUACGUG
rnacentral:rRNA from 1 species